CCCUUAGAUGUUCUGGGCCGCACGCGCGCUACACUGAGUGGAUCAGCGGGUCAGGUUGCGCGAAAGUGUUUCCUAAUCUUUAAAUCCGCUCGUGAUGGGGAUUGACGGUUGCAAUUUUCCGUCAUGAACGAGGAAUACCUUGUAAGCGCGGGUCAUCAUCCCGCGCUGAAUACGUCCCUGCCCUUUGUACACACCGCCCGUCGCUCCUACCGAUUGAGUGGUCCGGUGAGGCUUUGGGAUCUGAGCGGAAAGAGCGUUUCGCUGUUUCUGCCCGGAAAACUCAGUCGAACCUUAUCAUUUAGAGGAAGGAGAAGUCGUAACA
rnacentral:rRNA from 1 species